rnacentral:tRNA from 1 species
UCUAAUAUGGCAGAUUAGUGCAAUGAAUUUAAGAUUCAUAUAUAAAUAAUUUUAUUUUUUUAGAA